AUUACCAAGUCACAGACUGAAUCAAUGGCUGAAUGUCAGGUGGUAAGUGGUUAACCUAGGGAGCUCAGGUGCAAGCAAUGAACCUGAGUAACCAGAAAGGGUGGACUUAGGGUCCAGCCCUCUUCACCUUCAUUUAAGUGUUAGCAGCCAAGGGAGCAGCUUUUCUCUAGAGACUGUUAUUUUUGAGCUGUUGCCAGUCAUGGAAAGAGGUUCUUUUCUCUUUUACGAUGAAAAUUAUGUGGGAAUUUCCCCUGUACAUAAUGGAAAAAAAGCCUGAAACUUCCAUUAUUGAUACCCUUACUGAUUGCAGAAUGCUUUUCAUGAGCAUGAAGAUAUUUGCAUUGAGGCUUUUGAGUGCUUGUCUUCACAUCUGAAGAGUGUAACUGACAAUGGUAUGUUCCUGUUUAAAAAA